rnacentral:misc_RNA from 1 species
CGAUGACGUCAUCGUACACUCGCCUGUCACUCGGAAAGCAACUUGAGAGCCACUCGUAUAUUCAUCGUAUUUGAGGACUUCUUCUAAGAGCAAGAUGAGCAGCAUUUCAAGUUACCAGGAUGACAACAGCAUACCUCUGGUGGAUGAUGACCCAUCAGUGGUACUGGAUGAUGACCGCACUGCAGCAUCAGAGAUUUCAGACUCGACCCGUGGCCAGAGCCUAGAGUCAAUCCCUUCAGCCUAUACCAAUGGGUCCAACAGUCCCCUGCACAAUAAGCCAGACAUGUCACCAGAUGAACAGGAAGAGAAAGCACGACUCAUAUCACAGGUUCUGGAGCUGCAGAACACACUUGAUGAUCUCUCCCAGCGAGUGGAUAGUGUUAAGGAGGAGAAUCUGAAACUGCGGUCGGAAAACCAGGUCUUGGGACAGUACAUAGAAAAUCUCAUGUCAGCCUCUUCAGUAUUCCAGUCAACAUCACCCAAAACUAAGAAAAAUAAACAGUGGCGCCAGUUUGAAGCUUAAGAUUUCUACAGAUAAUUAUGGGAGGUUGGUGAAGGGCUACGUAACUUGUUACACCCAAGAUAAAUGAUCUGAACGCCUGCUUUAGCUUCGUGCAAGGUUGAUGCAUCACUGCUGAGCCCCAUCGCUGGUUAUUACAACUUUUUCCUUGAAAUUUUUCAAAGUGUUAGAGUGACAAUUUGGUUUCCUGUGGAAAUUAUAUGUAUCACAAAUCUAUGUAUGUGUAUAUAUAUAUAUAAUAUAUAUCAAUCUUUUUUUCUUUUUUUUCACAUUUUAGUGGUUUUAGUUUGACUUACUGUUCUUGAGAAGCCAGGAAUGAGUGAUUUUGAUAUAUAGGAAUAUUGCAAAAUAAUUCAUUAGAUGCUUGCACUUAUCAGCAGAGGAAUGAAUCUUUAGAAGGCAGGUAGACUUCAUUCUUUAAUUUCUCUCUAUCUCACUCUCCAAUUUUGAAAUGAAAAAGGUGGUAAGGUUAUUAUUGGCAGCACUUGUUGCCAACAUAUCAGUGGUUUUAUCGGUAAGGUUUUUUAAUGCUAGUCGUGGUAAGGAUUGCAUUGCAUGGUAAUGCACGAUAUUAUAUUUGUAUUCUUUAAGGGAGAAGAAGUACCUUCAUGCGAUUUUUUUAAGUUGAAUGAAAAAGGAUGCUGAAGAAAAAAUGAUAAAAUUAACUUUCCUGUCGUAGAAUGGACUGGGAGAUGUGAAAUUAAAUGCCAUGAUAAUUGUACUGACAUGUGUCAGUCUGAAGAAAUACUGCAUUUGUAUCAGUUACCUUUAUAGUUUGUACUUCUAGCAAUAUACUUGAUUUAUAUGCUGUGUUCCAUUAUGAUCAGAUAAUAUAUGUUACUUGUUUUACAAUAUUUGUUGAUCAAUUUGUGGUUGAUUAUUGUCUAUAUGUACCAUAAAUAUUAUGCAACAAAUAAGAAGAUAUACAAAUGGAAUGUUGCAUACAAGAUCAUUCUGAUAAAAAGAAAAAAAAAAAAAGAAAUUAAUUUGCUGCAAUGUCAAGGAGUGUUAUAAAUUUAAUGUUUUUUUUCUUUAUUUUUCUUUAUCUCUGAUUGAAAUUGUUGUAGAAUAUACAUAUAUCUUUUUAACCACUCUACCAAUCCUAUAAUGACAGAUUUAAACAUUUAUAUUCAUAGUAUGGAAACAGGAAAGAAACUUAUUGUAGAUAAUACUGUUCCAUAUAUUCAGAUUUUUGUUAGCCUUGAAGAUAUUGAGAAACAUUUAAAGAUAAGACAUCUCUUCCCUUGAUGGGAAAAUAAACAAAUGAAAAAAAAAUUAAAGGCAAGACUGAUGAACUUGAACUGUUGAUAUUAUAUAUUGUUUAUGAUAACAAAAAUUGUUUCCUUUGAAGGUUCAAAUCUUGUGUUCUAGUCGUUUUGAAACCAGAUUUUAGAUACUUUAACAUUGUCAUGAGUUGAGAUAGCAUUUUUGUUAUUAAAAUAAGACAUUUUUUAUCCUCUGUCAUUGUUUACACUUUUGUAGAUUAUUUUGCUUAACAGGUUGUGCAUUUAUUGCCCUCAUUUAGAAAUUAUUUUCAAUAUUGAUAAUGUAAAGUAACAUUUAUAUUUUUACAUUUUUAGAUUCUUUACCCUGAUUCAGUUAACCUGAAGCAAGACUUAUACAAGUCAUAAUAGAUCUUAAAGGAACUAAAUGUUCAGUCUGAUUUAUAUAACCUAUGAAAAUCACUGAAUAAGUAUUGUAUGUGAUAGCUUAUACUAUGUCAACCAAAGCCUGAAAUAUUCAAUAAAGAUGAUAAAGGUUA